rnacentral:rRNA from 1 species
GACGAACGCUGGCGGCGUGCUUAACACAUGCAAGUCGAGCGGUAAGGCCCUUUCGGGGGUACACGAGCGGCGAACGGGUGAGUAACACGUGGGUGACCUGCCCUCAGCUCUGGGAUAAGCCUGGGAAACCGGGUCUAAUACUGGAUAUGACUCCAUGACGCAUGUUGUGGGGUGGAAAGCCUUGUGCGGCUGAGGAUGGGCCCGCGGCCUAUCAGCUUGUUGGUGGGGUGANGGGCCUACCAAGGCGACGACGGGUAGCCGGCCUGAGAGGGCGACCGGCCACACUGGGACUGAGACACGGCCCAGACUCCUACGGGAGGCAGCAGUGGGGAAUCUUGCGCAAUGGGCGAAAGCCUGACGCAGCGACGCCGCGUGAGGGAUGACGGCCUGGUUGUAAC